UAUUUUUUCUGUUUAACAUCCUAAUGUAGUUAUUUGAUGCGCUAACAGUCUACGUCCUCGCAUACAACAAACUUAGUGGUCAUUGAUCAAGUAAUUCAUGGCUAUAAUUUAGUAGUAUCUGUCCUAAAUCUCGUGACUGUGACUUCCGGUCAUUCCAUUCGAAGCGCACAAUGAGAGGGUCGCAAUGGGGUUUGUUUUCUCAUAUUGACAAUGCACUCGAAGGUAACGACGUAUGUUAACCUUUGUGACAAAUAAGAUAUUUGCCGCAUGUUUCAACAACGCCAGUUUUCCAUCCUUGAGUUUAGUAAUAUGUAAUCAGCGGAGCGCGAUCAGCCAGAGUCGCCUAAAUUCAGAAAGAAUACUUUUAACGUCAGAGGUUAUUUCUAAGGUCACGGAGUUUGAUUGGCCAACUUGUAAUGACAACAGUUUGCGUUGUCAGUUGUUCAGUCAAGUGUGACUUACCGAUUCUAAGUGUUCCUUCUCAAGAGAAGGAACAAUAACUGUUCAGAAUUUACGGAAUCGGUUAAAUAACAGACGAGAUUUAAAGUUAUAAUAGUUGAGAAAAAUGUUGGCGUUUGUUUUUGUUGUUUCUUGCCUGACCGCUGAGACAACAUAAGUUUGUGGUUUUAAAUUCACUUUGUCAAAGACGCGAAUUGUGUUGGGAACAACAGGAAAAGUAUUCAUGGCAUGUAAUGUUACCGAAAAGGAUGCUUCAGUUGUGUACGACGUCUAAAUUCGGAGAGAAAGAAGUACCAAGUGGGAUACCUUUGGCAUGUAUUGAAGCAGGUGUUACUGAAGUCCCAGCUUUACAUAAAGAUAUUGUUAAUGACACAGAGAUUGUUGUUGGUGGCAUUUUGGAUAAAGAAACUCCAAGUAAAACACAUUUAACUUUAGAAGUGAAUAUUGAGAAGAUGACUUUUACUGACGUUGGAGUAUAUAGAUGUAAGAUGAUGUAUAAAAAUGUGUCUGGAAACAUUUUCUCAGUUACAAGAGAUGCAACACUUACAAAUGUUGGUAAGCAUACUUUUUGUUAAGAAGCUGAUAGUAAUUUUAUACCACAAAAGAAAGCGUUAGGUACAAUUUACACUAUGAACAUGACUAUGUCUGCAUUUUCACAAUGUUCCGUUUGUAAACCAAAUGUUUUCUUCCCUGAUGUACAUGCAUAGACAUAUCGUUUGUUAUUUUUAUCGAUGUCUUUCAUAUUUAUAGUUCAGUUGUGCGGUAAUACAAAAA